rnacentral:rRNA from 1 species
UUUUCCUACGGGGCGCAGCAGUGAGGAAUAUUGGUCAAUGGCCGAGAGGCUGAACCAGCCAAGUCGCGUGAGGGAUGACGGCCCUACGGAUUGUAAACCUCUUUUGCCGGGGAGCAAAAAGCGGUACGUGUACCGCAUCGAGAGUACCCGGAGAAAAAGCAUCGGCUAACUCCGUGCCAGCAGCCGCGGUAAUACGGAGGAUGCGAGCGUUAUCCGGAUUUAUUGGGUUUAAAGGGUGCGCAGGCGGCGAGUUAAGUCAGCGGUAAAAUUUCGGGGCUCAACCCCGACGAGCCGUUGAAACUGGC